AGGAGAGAGGGGAGGGAGAAGGUCAGAGAGUCACCUUCCCAGGUUUCAUGGCUGCUGCAGGGAGAAAGGGCGAGGGGAAGGUGGAGCAACUCUCAAUCCAUGACUGAAUUGUACAGAUGGAACACAGGAGGGUGAGAUGUCUCCUUGCUGGAAACUGCACAGUGUGAAGGCUCUCGGGAAUUGCUUUAUGGAAUCAGACUCCUUCGUUCCUUCGUGUACACCUCCUAGAUGCAUUUUUACAGAAUCAGACUCCUUCAUGUACACUUCCUAGGUGCAUUUUCCUGGAGCUCAUCUGGAGUCCAGGCCUCAGCUUCUGUUGUACAAUGAGGGAUGAUAAUGGCAGAUACUUAGAUACUUUUGAGAAGGCCACCUGAGACGUGAUUGCCAAAAGCAAGUGAGGAUGACUGAAUGAGAGAACGGUGAAUAGCAGUUAUUUUAAAAUUUAUUUUUAACAUCCCUACAUUUAUUGCAACUGAUUCUUGUAGGACC
rnacentral:lncRNA from 1 species